AACGCACAUUGCGCCCGCCAGCACUCUGGCGGGCAUGCCUGUCCGAGCGUCAUGUCAACCCUCGGGCCCCCCAGGGGGCCCGGCGUUGGGGACCGGCCUGCCUGGGCCGCCCCCCAAAGGCAGUGGCGACGCCCGCCGCGACCUCCCCUGCGCAGUAAGCACACGCCUCGCACCGGAGCGCCGGCGGGCCAGCGCCGUGAAAACGCACCAGCCCAUCGCUAGUUGACCUCGGAUCAGGUAGGAGUACCCGCUGAACUUAA
rnacentral:misc_RNA from 1 species